UAAAUGAAUUCCAUGCGUUUUCUUCCUUUCCCUUCCCUGCCUUCGUGAAAGGGAAGCUAAGUCUUUCUUCUGCCCCAGAUUCCUUGAAGGCUGUCUGAGUUCUGUCUUCCUUCCCCUGCAUAGAGAAUAAGCUGGUCUCCGAUUUCAGGUACAAGGAAAUGCUAGAACUAGUG
rnacentral:sRNA from 1 species